rnacentral:rRNA from 1 species
AGCGUAGGCGGACUUUUAAGUGAGAUGUGAAAUACCCGGGCUCAACUUGGGUGCUGCAUUUCAAACUGGAAGUCUAGAGUGCAGGAGAGGAGGAUGGAAUUCCUAGUGUAGCGGUGAAAUGCGUAGAGAUUAGGAAGAACACCAGUGGCGAAGGCGAUUCUCUGGACUGUAACUGACGCUGAGGCUGAAAGCGUGGGGAGCAAACA